GACAGAGGUGCCGAGCGUUAGGCGGAAUCACUGGGCUUAAAGCGUGUGUAGGCGGGCCCGUAAGUACCUUGUGAAAUCCCACCGCUCAACGGUGGAACUGCUCGGUAUACUGCGGGUCUUGAGCCACCUAGGGGCAGCCGGAACAAGCGGUGGAGCGGUGAAAUGCGUAGAUAUCGGCAGGAACACCCGUGGCGGAAGCGGCCACCUAGCCCGCACCUGACGCUGAGGCGCGACAGCGUGGGGAGCGAACGGG
rnacentral:rRNA from 1 species